rnacentral:rRNA from 1 species
GCUCAGGACGAACGCUGGCGGCGCGCCUAACACAUGCAAGUCGAACGAGAGAUGAAGAGCUUGCUCUUCAAAUCGAGUGGCGAACGGGUGAGUAACGCGUGAGGAACCUGCCUCAAAGAGGGGGACAACAGUUGGAAACGGCUGCUAAUACCGCAUAAGCCCACAGCUCGGCAUCGAGCAGAGGGAAAAGGAGCAAUCCGCUUUGAGAUGGCCUCGCGUCCGAUUAGCUAGUUGGUGAGGUAACGGCCCACCAAGGCGACGAUCGGUAGCCGGACUGAGAGGUUGAACGGCCACAUUGGGACUGAGACACGGCCCAGACUCCUACGGGAGGCAGCAGUA